rnacentral:rRNA from 1 species
UGGGCGUUAAGUUGCAGGGUAUAGACCCGAAACCCGGUGAUCUAGCCAUGGGCAGGUUGAAGGUUGGGUAACACUAACUGGAGGACCGAACCGACUAAUGUUGAAAAAUUAGCGGAUGACCUGUGGCUGGGGGUGAAAGGCCAAUCAAACCGGGAGAUAGCUGGUUCUCCCCGAAAGCUAUUUAGGUAGCGCCUCGUGAAUUCAUCUCCGGGGGUAGAGCACUGUUUCGGCUAGGGGGCCAUCCCGGCUUACCAACCCGAUGCAAACUGCGAAUACCGGAGAAUGUUAUCACGGGAGACACACGGCGGGUGCUAACGUCCGUCGUGAAGAGGGAAACAACCCAGACCGCCAGCUAAGGUCCCAAAGUCAUGGUUAAGUGGGAAACGAUGUGGGAAGGCCCAGACAGCCAGGAUGUUGGCUUAGAAGCAGCCAUCAUUUAAAGAAAGCGUAAUAGCUCACUGGUCGAGUCGGCCUGCGCGGAAGAUGUAACGGGGCUAAACCAUGCACCGAAGCUGCGGCAGCGACGCUGAUGCGUUGUUGGGUAGGGGAGCGUUCUGUAAGCCUGCGAAGGUGGCCUGUGAGGGUUGCUGGAGGUAUCAGAAGUGCGAAUGCUGACAUAAGUAACGAUAAAGCGGGUGAAAAGCCCGCUCGCCGGAAGACCAAGGGUUCCUGUCCAACGUUAAUC